GACGAACGCUGGCGGCGUGCUUAACACAUGCAAGUCGAACGAAGUGGCGAACGGGUGAGUAACGCGUAAUCAACCUGCCCUUCAGAGGGGGACAACCGUUGGAAACGACUGCUAAUACCGCAUACUGAAGGUGGGGAUUGCGUCUGAUUAGCUAGUUGGAGGGGUAACGGGCCACCAAGGCAAUGAUCAGUAGCCGGGCUGGGAGGGUUGACGGCCACAUUUGGACUUGGACACGGCCCAGACUCCUACGGGAGGGAGCAGUUGGGAAUCUUCCGCAAUGGACGGAAGUCUGACGGAGCAACGCCGCGUGGGUGAUGAAGGGCUUCGGGUUGGAAAACUCUGUUAAUCGGGACGCGGUACCGGAAUAGAAAGCCACGGCUAACUACGUGCCAACAGCCGCGGUAAUAC
rnacentral:rRNA from 1 species